AUUGCACGCUGGCGGCAGGCCUAACACAUGCAAGUCGAGCGAGCGGCGGACGGGUGAGUAAUGUAUGGGGACUGCCCGAUAGAGGGGGAUAACUACUGGAAACGGUGGCUAAUACCGCAUACUAUCGGAUAACCCAUAUGGGAUUAGCUAGGAGGUGGGGUAAAGGCUCACCUAGGCGACGAUGUCUAGCUGGUCGGAGAUGGUGAUCAGCAACCAUGGGACUGAGACAGGGCCCAGACUCCUACGGAGUCCGCAGGGGGGAAGAUUGCACAAGGGGCGCAAGCCUGAUGCAGCCAUGCCGAGUGUAUGAAGAAGGCCUGAGGGUUGUAAAGUACUUUCAGCGGGGAGGCGUUACCCGCAGAAGAAGCACCGGCUAACUCCGUGCCAGCCGCCGCGGUAAUAC
rnacentral:rRNA from 1 species